UUUCCUAUGAAAUAUAAUUCCAGUUUUCAUACAUCAAUUACCCCGAGCCUUCAGUCCAUCAACGAGGAUCCAAGAUCAAGCCUCCCCCAUUAGCAGCCUCUCUCCCCUUGAAAUGUUUAUUUACAAAAUCCGCCGCCAGUCCCGGAUUGUCAAAUUUAUACAUUGUGUUAUCAGGCAGAGUCACUCUAAGAACCGCUGGAUAAACGAGUCCGAAUUUUACUCCCGGGCAAGCUCGUAGUCGCUGCUUGACAGCUCCAAAGCCAGCCCGCUGCUUAGCGACCGACGAAGUGUAGUCCGGAAAAAUGGAAAUCCUCUUACCCUUGUAGACAAUGGGUGAUACCUCCGAAGACUUCCUCAGAAUCUCGUUGCGGACGUGGAGAAGAUGAACCCGAAUUACGACGGGACGCGGUGGUCCACCGUCCCGGGGCUUGUCACGCAGGAUACGAUGGGCCCGGUCUAGAAGCGGUCUCUCGGCGAAACCGAGCAACUCCUGCAGCAGCUUUGCCAUGAAUUCCGCCGGUCGCGGACCCUCCACUCCCUCCGGAAUUCCGAUGAGACGAAUGUUAUUUCGCCUCAUUCUGCUCUCCAUGUCCUCGCAUUUGUCUUCAAGUGGCUGCUGCUGGACGGAAAGAAAAUCCAAAUAUCUCUCCUCUUCGAAAGGGACGGAGGAGGCGGCACGUUGUCGACGACAUGUUGUCUGUGUCAGAGCUGUGUGCGUGUGUGUGGGUCAAAUCAUCAGCCAAUGCAUUUAAGGGGGAAAACAUGGACCGGCACUUUCAACAUGUGAAAAGGGGUAAAUGCAUGCCUGAACACAAUGAAAAUAAUUCACUUAAUAAUGGUAGGGUCAAUUCUAUUCCUACAACAUGGAAAGACAAAUUUAAAUAACCUAUAUAACUGGAGUCAAUAUAUUAACAGGUCAUGUUAGGAGCACCUUAGAGACAGUCAUUUGCUUUGCUUAGCCGCCCCCCCCAAAAAAACACCUGAGGACAGAACAGGCAAGAUGGAUAUACGUAAUUUUUUGAAACACAAGUUUUCAAAAGCAACAACAACUACAGAGCGAGAACCAAGGAUUGAAGAUGUGGACCAUGAAACGCCAGAGAGCACCGCCAAAAUGGUGAGCGGAGUUUCAGUUUGCUCCACUAAAGAUGGUAACCACAAAAAAUGAUGGGAAACAAAAAACGCUCAUUUUCAACAUUUUAUUAUAAAUGUUCCUGGCUGGAAUAUUCAGUCAAAACGGAUGCAGCGUCAACCUCUGGACUCGGUUAGAAAGAAAAACGUGUGCGAUCGUACACGCACGCACACACGCACACAGCUGGGAUGCCUGUAUGUACUAGCAUGGGCUAAGCUACUAUCCGAGCAUAUAUCUUGGAAGUUAGUUUUAUUGCUGACUCUGCAUUUUGGCGUCAUCAACAUUUUUGCCCCCACCCUGCCAAACUCCGCCGUUCAGUGAAUCAAAGAAAUCUAGUUUAAAAAAAAAAAAAAAGCUGUGAAAAAACAAUAACUCAUAUCUUCCAUUUCAAUGUAGAUGUCGAUUUCAUCAGCAUUACACUAAUGCGAACACAACAUAAAACUUUCCCCCACAACAUGGGAAAGUUCCCUUCUGCGUCACAAUUUACAUAGUUUCCAGUUGUCACCUUGCCACACCAAAUGUAGAACUAGCAUUUCCAAAUAUAUUAUAGUGCAAUGACAAAGUCAAACAAGUACUCAGAUGCGUGACUUUAUCCAUAUUUGCCAUAAAUGUCGACCUCAAUGCUUUCGGUUCCACAGAAAACCAUUACAGUGCUUUUUGUGCUUGGAACUAUUCAUGCCUACAUGGACCACGUGAUCACCCGCGGCAAGAUCAGAGCGUCUCGCAGCUGUCUUUCUACAUGGCUCUGGGUUGAAUAAGAUAUUCAAAUCUUUGUUUUCUGUUUUUUAGUCGUUUAACAGGCAAACCAGAAAUAACAACUUCUUGUUUUUGUUUUUUUAAUGGAAAAGACUGAUAAGCUUUUGGACCGCAUGGGAGGGUCCAUGAAGAGUUCAUUUCAAGUAAGACACUUAACCAACAGGGAGAACAUUCAAACUCCACACGGAAGAAGGUCGGAACCAAGAAUUGAACAUUCGAUCUCAGACCUGUGAUGUUGACUUAGUAAGCACCCAGUCAGUAAAUUUGUGAUAAUUUGGGACAAUUAUCUUCAUGAAAAUGCAACUGUUAAAGUAAUUUAUUAUAAUAGUAAAUUAAUGACUUUUUUCUGAUAUAACUACAGCUUUGAUAUGGCGAAAUUAUAACAUUAAAAAAACAGGGAAAAAAUACAAGUGUAUAGUAAAAUUUGAUACUUCUUUCAUUUAAAAAAAAAAAAAAAUACUAUUAAUAACAACAUUUUCCUCUUUGAAAUAAAAACAUCAUAGUAAACUGAUUACAUUAAAAACAUCUUUAUACUGCAGUAUUGUCAAUGUGUCCUUAAUAUUUAUGGAGUCAUUUUCAAUGUCAAUAGAUGUAUUUCUUCAGCACCAGCACCAUGAAGUCAUCUGCACGAGUGAGUGAGGUCAUUGUAAGGCCCUUCUCUCCACUCGACUCAUACUAGCGUCUUUGUUUUGUCCAAAUUGUCAAAGUCACGGGCGUGACGCCCACAGUCAGCUCGUCUGCGCCGGCCGCAGGAAUGUUGAAUGUGUAACACAAACGCUUAACAUGCAUGUAAAAAGACCAAAUGCAAUGUCUGCUUUUCUGUUUUUGCCGUUUGUGUUUCUCAUACACACAAAGGAGUUGAGAAAGGACAACAGUCAUCAACGUUGGUGUGAGCGGUUGUGUUUGGACAUGAUUUAAGUUAAACAUCUGUAUCUUGAACUACUAUUAUGUGUGGAAUUUCACAAAUGUCCUCGGGACUUUUCUCAUUGUGUGUGACUGUGUCUUUCUUUGAAUACCAGAGAGCAGGGCCAACCCACGCCUCCAAUGCAGUUCUCAGAAAAAUUUGCUCUUGGGGCACUCGAUUAAUUUAGACAUUACAACAAUAUCAUUCAAAUCUAGGCUGGAUCAACAAUAGGGAUGGCUUGUGAUAUGGACAUAAUUUGCUCCGUGACCAUACUUGUUAGUCAAAAACAUAUCUCAAAUUAUUUUUAGAAUUUAAAUGAAUGUCAUCAGGGCAGCAGCGUGACCGAGUGGUUAGCAUGUUCGCCUCACAGAUCAAGGGUUCAAUCAUGGGCUCCGGCCUUCCAGUGUGCAGUUGGCAUGUUCUCUCUGUGCCUGCAUGGGUUUUCUCUCGGGUUUCCUCUGACAUCCGAAAAACAUGCAUGCUAGGCUGACAGAACUCUGUAAAUUAUCCAUAUGUGUGAUUGUCAGUGUGAAAGGUUGUUUGCUGUUAUGUGGCCUGUUAUUAUUAGUCUUUCUAUGUAGAGGUAUUGUCUAAAUUUUGCUUCACUUUGUGUUCAAAGAUCAUUUGCAUGUAGGGUUUUAAAGCUGUGCCUGUUGAUGACAACCUUUAGCAUGCCAAGGUCAUUUUCCAUUAUUUAUUAGCUAAACAGACUAAGGCUAGGUUCAGACCGCAGGUCUUGACGCACAAUUCCGAUUUUUCUUCAUAUCUGUUUUUUGGGUGGGCCCUUUCAGACUGCAUUUGUCAAUUGAGCCCGUUCAAGUAUUACGCAUGCGCGCUAAUUCGUAGUCCGACACGCGCUGAGCAAACUGAUCCGCAUGCGCAGAAGCAUCAAAACAAAUGACCACUAAUGUUUGCCCUCAUAGGCGGAGUUUGACUUUUGGGGCAGGGGGGGCACAACAUGUUGAUGACCACGAAACACAGUGUCAGCAAAAUAAUUAACUUACAAGAAUAUUUAUAAUAAUAAGUUGAAAAUGAGCGUUUUUUGUUUCCCAUCAUUCUUGAGGGGAAUUCUGAAUCAGGCGGCUUAGGACAGUUAUACUUUUCACCAAGAUCGUCAUCCAUUGGAUAUGGAACGCCCGCCGGUGUCGUGCCAAUGUAGUUAUCCCUGUCAAAAAUUUUAUCCCCUCGGCGGAGCCACUGCGCUGCACGGAUUUGCUUGAUUUCUGUUUUUUGGUGAUGUAGUUAUCUACAAGGUUUUAAAACAUUACCCAUUCAUAAAAAAAAAAAAAAAAAAAUUCUGUCGUAUAACGUAACAUACGUAGUGAACGUUAAGAAAAAAGGCAAUGUUUUACUAUUUUACUGGUAAGAUGAACUAUAACUGUUAUUACUGUAAUUCAAGUCUUGUAUGGAGUUUCUCCAGUUUAAUAAACGUUGAUGUCCAAAAUAUAUAACAGUGGUUCUUUUCGGGCUUCAAUUAAUUGUUUACGUCGACAUAACUCAUAACUAAUGUGUGUGUGUGCGCUCCUGCGGCCAGGGGAUACAAUUUUUGACAGGGAUAACUGUUAGGGCCUACGCCCCUCCCUCCUGAAGCCUGACCCACCUUGGGCAGGUGUGCAUGUUUUUAGCUAAUUACAGGUCAGACGAGUGGAGCGGCCACAGCUGAGGGCAAUGAACAUCAGCCAUCUUUAAAACCCAACAGACGCUCCACCUCGUCGCCCGAUCUACUUGUCUGCUUCACACGUCGGUCCUGCUUUCUGCGUGACCCUCAACAGAUUACACGCCUGCCUCCCUUCCGAGCCUCCUCGUCCUAUGCCAGCUCCCCAACACCGUGCCCAGCAAUUUACACCCGCGACAGCCUGGUGAUCAUCAAUAAAAGACAGCUCAUUUUAUCACUGUGUGUCCAUUCUGGGAUCCCCUCUUGCUCUCGCACCCUUAACAGAGAUCUUAGCAGCUUCACAAAUUCAUGGAAUACAGCCGGUUCGCCCUCCCACAUACACACACGCUCACAGUGACAUAUGUGGGUGUGAGUCUGUGUGCGCACCCUUCAGCUUGUGUAAAGCUCAUUGACACAGCAUGACGGCCGCAGAUCUCUAAUGCAUCCAUUCGUGCAAGAGUCACACAGGAGAGUUCUCAGGAAGGAGAACCUCAACACCCAGCUGCUGGUGACCCUCUACCGCUCCAGCAUCGAGUCUGCUAACCUACGCCAUCAUGUUGUGGGACCCCAGCUGUGCUGAGGCGGAGAGGGAAGAGAUUGCAUAGAGUAGUAAGGAGAGCAGAGAAGAUCAUCGGCUGCCCUCUACCCUCUCUCCUGGAAAUAUACAACUUCUGCUGCCUCAGUAGAGAUCAGAACAAUAUUAAGGACACUUUCACACAGCCAGCACCGCUUUGACCUGUAACACUCGGGUAGGCGGUACAGGUCUCUAAGAUCAAUGACAAACAGACUGAAAAACAAUUUUUUAUCCAUUUCUAUCUAUAUAUAAUGUAUGCUGUUUUUUUAAGUAUUUUUAUUUAUUUAUUAAGGUGGGUGCCACACUUUUCUGUAUGGCGGAACUCCCUGGGCGGGGCCUCCUCUUCGUCUGGGCUGUUGGUUGCAGGGAUGGGGCUCGCACCCUCUCAGCGUUCUCCCGCUUCUGCCUACCUCCCUUUCAUGUACCUGGGCAUCCUCCUUGGGCCCCGGCGAUGAACGCCGGGUGGUUGCCAGUGUAACAGGCAGCGGGGCGUGAAGGUGCGGCAAACGGUGUGCGAGCCCUAGCUCUUCUCCCCAGGAUCUCCAAAUUGAGACUAAUGAACAACUGGACACAUUGAUUGGUGGAAGGGAAGUGUGAUCAGCUACAAAUGUGGCAUGAGCAAAGGAUUCCACAGGGCGUUGACUGUCCGCUCUGCGGCCGAACGCUGCAUGAAGAAGGGAGGACUGGCAGUAGUCAGUAAACGUACAUUGUUAGCAGGGGUGGGUUGGUAAAAAUGUUAUAAUUUUAUCUAGUUUUUUACUAACUGUCUUUACUGUUUUUAAGAGUGAUUUUAAAGUGAAGUCACUGGCUGCCCACCAAUAGUUCCAGAGGGGAAUUGUUCCAGCAGGCUUAACCCCAGGGGGUCCCGUAGGCCUGCCGGUGUGGAUGCAAGUUUUGUUUGCAGUGUUUUUGUUUGCAGUGCUUUCUUUGAUUGCAGUGUCCACCGUUUGUUUGCUGUGCAAGAGCAGAGCCGUCCUCCCUGGGUAGGCCGAAUCCCACGCUGUCCAGCAUAAAGUGGCUGACUUUUUAGCCUUUUUAUCAUCUUGUUUUCUAAAUAAAUUCAGUUGUAUGGACUGAAAGCCUCGUCAAGCCUCCUCUUGCUGUGUCUCAGGGCCGGGACUAACCUCCAGGUUGUUACACCAGCGGGGC